GCUAUUUGACUCAUUCAAUAUCCAAGCAAAGUAAGAAGCAAUUUAUACUCAUCCCCUUCCAUCAAAAGUAAGUGUUCUAAGUUGUUAUUGUGCUCAAUAUCGUAAAUCUAAAUUUUUUCUUUUGCAAAAUAUUAUUUGAAAAUACAUAUUUUUUUGUGAAGAUCUCAUUGGAUGUUGAUACUACUUUUCCUUCAAAGAGGAGAAGCUUUCUUGUUCGCUUCAGCAGGAGUUGGAUUAGAUAGCGUGCAAGUAAAAGGACAUAUAUCUAUGAGUUAUCGGACUUGGCAAGCCAACAACAAAGGAUCUCGAAAGUCUCUAAGAUGGAAAGAAAUUACAUGUUCUCGCGAACCGGAAAUGCUUGAAUGUGGCUAUUACGUCAUGAAGUACAUGUAUCAAAUAGUUUUACUUGGACUACAAUGUAUUAGUAAUGUGGAAGAGGUA